UUGCAAGACGCUGUGAACGUAUUUGCUGACAUCAUCGAAACGAUCAAUUUCAGAGUUUGUUUAACAAUUGCCGUCAUUAUGAAUGUACUUUCGUGAAAAAUGACCGAGUAAGGUAAUCUAGUAAAUUCUCCGGAAAAUCAGUAUACUAGGAUGGUGCCAUAUCAGUACCUUAAAUAUAAUACUUUGCCAUGAAUUCUAUCAAUUGGCCGAUGAAGAAACAGUGGUUAUUUAACGAGGUGAGAAUAUGUAGUUAUGCAACGAAGACAAUUAAGAGUGCGACGUGACGAUGAAAGGAGGAAAUCCAAGGUCUGCAAACAUCUAUCUUUUUAUUAAUAAGACAUGAUUUACAGAAAUACUAUGUAAUAGCUAUGUUACUCUCUAAUACACGAAGUAAUAGAUCAUCAACGACACGAAUGUCGAUAUAUCCGGCCUGAAUCCUAUAGGUGUAUUUCUAAUCUACGCAAUACACAGGUGUCUUAUAAAAAAUGGUAGUAUUGUAAUAAAAUAAUUACAUUAAAAAAGUCAAGUACAAUUUAAAA